GCCUUGGGGACAUCCCAGUCAAGAUACCUAAUGGCAGUUUACUAGCUAAGGCGACUGGCAGUUGACUUAACCUUGGUAAGCUUGUCUCCUCACGUGCAACGUAGGGAUGGCAGUACUUACCUCAUAAUGCUGGGGUGAGUCACUCGACAAGAUAUUUACUUAGCACUUUCCAGUGUUCUGGGUGCCAGGGAUUCAGCUGGACUGCUGCAGUGUAAAAGACACAGGCAAUACAAGUAAAGGUAAAAAUAUAAGGCCCAAUUAGAGGUGCAGAUUUGGCUAUGGUCCACAUCAAAUCUCCCAGAAGAGCAUGGCGUGAGUGAGCAUUCCCCAGUUGCUGGGCAAGGUGGAGGCUGCAUGGUGACAGGGUGCUAGCCGGCAGGGAUUGCACUGAGGUGUGUCUGAACGGCCUUGGCAAGGCUGUCUUUAAAAUGAUGGUUUCGCACUGGGUGAUCCCCAAGCUCUUCCUUGGUAUUGUAACUUCCAGUGAUCACCCGUGUGCCUCUGUGUCUGUGCAGAGAGGAGCUGGCUCUCGGAGUUUAACGGUGUGGAUGCAAACUACUAGGGGUCUCAUGGGAGGAACCCAGGCCCAUGGGGCUUUGCCAGGAGCCUGCCUUCUCUCAACAUCCAGAUUUCAUAGUUCCGGUCAGAACAAUCACCCUCAUGAGCUCGGUGUGACCAUCCCGUUUUUACUGAUGGUGGGAUUGAGUGAGGCGGAGCGAGGUUAGAGCGACUCGCAGCCCUGGGAAGGCCGAAGCCCCCUGACCGAGUGUGUCGCUUGCUGGUCCUGGCCUUGGAGACUCAGGCGUGCUGGGUUCCAUGCGGUGGCCUGCUCAGUGCAUCCGGCCCGGAGAGUUGGCUGGAAGCAGCGUGUGAUCUGGUUUGAGUCCCCUGAGGGUGCCGGUGAAGAUGUGUGCCACGAGCCCACACUGCCUCCACAGUGGUGGCUGCCAAAACGAACAGCUGUGAAAUGACUUGUCGGGAAGGGUGUGACAGCGUGCUGGAAGAGAUUCGGCUCCCGGCCAAAUAACUUUACCACCUGAAGUCCCGGGCGGCUGUGUCGAGGGCCCCGCUGAGGCUGCCUGAGGACCCGAGCGCGUGGCCCACAGAGCCCCGCACGGUGCUCGCUGCGGACAGCGUGCUGCCCGGUCGUUGUGUGUGCGCCUCUGGGUACAUGCACAGUGUUCCCCCUGUAUGUGCAUUUAUGUGCGUAAAAGUAUAGCUACGUGCUGAAGUUUUUAUGAGUAAAAGGAGAAAAAAGGGGCCGGCCUGGUGGCGCAGCAGUGAAGUUCGCAUGUGCCACCUGGGUGCGGACAUGACACCGCUCGGCAAGCCAUGCUCUGGCAGGCGUCCCACAUAUAAAGUAGAGGAAGAUGGGCAUGGAUGUUAGGGCAUCUUCCUCAGCAAAAAGAGGAGGAUUGGCAGCAGAUGUUAGCUCAGGGCUAAUCUUCCUCAAAAAACAAAAAAGGAGAAGAAAAAGGGCAUGAGGGGGUGGGUAGAAAAGAUGGCAGCACGCUGGUGGUAAUUGAAGCUGGAUGAUGGCCACGUGGGAGUUCCGUCUACUCUUCUCUCUGCUUCUGUGUACAUUUGAAAAUUCUAAAAUAAAAAGGUCUAAAGAUAUGUAGAGUAUUUAAACAUUUGUUUAAGCCUUUGAUCCGCUCUCUACCCUCUGCGCCCAGCCUUGCCCAGACGCUGUGCUGGGCGUCUGGACGCUG
ensembl:lncRNA